GCAAGGUGAUGGACUGAUGGCAGGGAAAAAGCAGUAGUAUUAUGUCAUGCAUCAAUGCUUUUCUUUUGUUUUUUUCCAGUUUUCUUUGUACCUUUCUGCAGGUAAAUAUAUAUAGAAUAUCUUCUGCUUUUCUUUUCUUUUUUCUUUUUCUUUUUAUUAAUUUUUUUAAUCAAUAAAUUCUUAAAUAAUUUACAGUAACAUUUGUUAAUUGCCCACUUUAAAUAAUUUAAUAAUGCUUGAAAUUGUUGUGUGCGUAAAGCUUGGAUUAUCUCUU
rnacentral:lncRNA from 1 species